GAUGAACGCUGGCGGCGUGCCUAAUACAUGCAAGUAGAACGCUGAAGAGAGGAGCUUGCUCUUCUUGGAUGAGUUGCGAACGGGUGAGUAACGCGUAGGUAACCUGCCUUGUAGCGGGGGAUAACUAUUGGAAACGAUAGCUAAUACCGCAUAACAAUGGAUGACCCAUGUCAUUUAUUUGAAAGGGGCAAUUGCUCCACUACAAGAUGGACCUGCGUUGGAUUAGCUAGUAGGUGAGGGAACGGCUCCCCAAGGCAACGAUACAUAACCGCCCUGAGAGGGUGAUCGGCCCCACUGGAACUGAGACACGGUCCAGACUCCGACGGGAGGCAGCAUUAGGGAAGCUUCCGCAAUGGGCGAAAGCCUGACGGAGCAACGCCGGGUGAGUGAUGAAGGUCUUCGGAUCGUAAAACUCUGUGAUUAGGGAAGAACAAAUGUGUAAGUAACUAUGCACGUCUUGACGGUACCUAAUCAGAAAGCCACGGCUAACUACGUG
rnacentral:rRNA from 1 species